CUCGCCUGUAUGAAGUCGGAAUUGCUAGUAAUCGUGGAUCAGCAUGCCACGGUGAAUACGUUCCCGGGCCUUGUACACACCGCUCGUCACACCAUGAGAGCCGGGAACACCCGAAGUCCGUAGUCUAACCUAUAUGGAGGACGCGGCCGAAGGUGGGUUUGGUAAUUGGGGUGAAGUCGUAACAAGGUAUC
rnacentral:rRNA from 1 species